UCUCAGAGAGGGGCGGGGCUGCUCUGGCCUCAGCUCUGAGCUCCGCCCUCUCACAUCUGAGAGAGUUAGACCUGAGCUACAACCGUCCAGGACCCUCAGCUGAGCUCCUGACCGCUCCAGGGGACGACCCACACUGCCCCCUGCAGUCUCUCAGGUUGGAUCCUGCUGGAGAACAGUGGAUGGUCCCAGGUCUGAGGAAGUAUUCCUGUGAGUUUUCUCUGGAUCCAAACACAGCUCACAGAAAACUCAAACUGUCUGAGGACAAACGGACAGUGACCUGUGUGAGAGAGGAGCAGCAGUAUCCAGAUCAUGAGGACAGAUUUACAGACAACUGUCCUGAGCUGCACUGGCCUGAGGGGGCGCUGUUACUGGGAGGUGCAGUGGAGGGGGUGGGCUGAAAUAGCAGUGAGUUACAGAAGAAUCAGA